rnacentral:rRNA from 1 species
UACGUAGGGGGCAAGCGUUGUCCGGAAUCAUUGGGCGUAAAGCGCGCGUAGGCGGCCCGGUAAGUCCGCUGUAAAAGUCCAGGGCUCAACCCUGGAAAGCCGGUGGAUACUGUCGGGCUAGAGUCCGGAAGAGGCGAGUGGAAUUCCUGGUGUAGCGGUGGAAUGCGCAGAUAUCAGGAGGAACACCGAUAGCGAAGGCAGCUCGCUGGGACGGUACUGACGCUGAGGUGCGAAAGCGUGGGGAGCGAACAGG